AGUACAGGCAGGGGAGACGAGGUGGGGAGCCGGUGGCAUUGUCCAGACAAGCGAUGACAGUGACUUGGAUUAGGGCGGCAGCAGAGGAGGUUGGCGACAGUGCUCAGACCUGAGAUGCACUUAAGAAUAAGCAAGGGUGCCUUGUAAGGUUUUGGCCUGAGCAACUGGAUGGUGGUGGUUUUAUUUACUGAGAUGGAGGCAGCUCAGUGGGGAUUUGAGCGUGGGGAAAGCGCAACCAUAUUCUUCAGGCGAGUCAUGUGUGAGCACCGUUCAGCACUCCAGCGGGGCUGCGCGGGAGCCUGUUGGCGCUCCAUCUGUGCUCCCGGGAGAGGUCUGGGCUAGAGGGAGAAGUGUGAGAGUCAGCAGCUUGGAGGCAGCGUUUAAAAUCCUGGGCCUGGAUGACAUUCCUGAGGGGGUUGUAGAGAUAGAGUGCUGUGCUUUCGAGGCACCCCGACAUCUGCAGGGUGAUGGGGCCGGCGGGGAGGGCACGGGAGACACAGGAGGAAGAGCCAGGGAGUGGGGAGUAAAGCAGGCAGCUCAAAAGCCGGAAACAUGGGGCGUGGCUUAGGAGCAAAUGACAGCUGCUGAGAACAUCAGGAAGACAAGGCCAGGACGUUGACCACUGGCUUUGAGAUUGGAAAGAGUCAUUUCAGAGGAGUAGGAGGAUGGCAGGCUGAUGGUGGUGAGAAGAGGAGCCAGCCCGAGCAGGCAGUGCUUGCGGGAGCUCUGCUGUAGAGAAUGGGGAAACAGGAUGGUGGUUGGAGGGAGGUGUGGGAUGAAGAGAGGGAUUUUUUUUUUUCUUUUUGUGAGACAGAGUCUCACUCUGUUGCCCAGGCUGGAGUACAGUGGCGUGAUCUCGGCUCACUGCAACCUCUGCCACCUGGUUUCAAGCAAUUCUUCUUCCUCAGCCUCCUGAGUGGUUGAGAUUACAGGCGCUUGCUACCGUGCCUGGCUAAUUUUUGUAUUUUUAGAAAAGUAGAGAUGGGGUUUCACCAUCUUGGUCAGGCUGGUCUUGAACUUCUGACCUUGCGAUCCACCCAGGAUCCCGAGCCUCGGCCUCCCAAAGUGCUGGGAUUACAGGCGUGAGUCACUGUGCCUGGCCGAUGAGAACGUUUUUAAGUCCUUUGUUACCUGCUGUUAAAUUGCUUCCCAGAAAAGCAGUCCCAAAUCAGUGUGACCAGCUGAGUUUGAGGAUGCUCCUUGUCUGAAAUUCAUAGAAUUGUGACCUCCAACCACACAAUCUUGAACUAAAUCAGACCAUUUAGAUGUAUUUUGUUUAACAAAAGGAGAAAAGAAUGUGUUUAACAAUGUUUUGCAAAAGCUGUAUUUCUAGCAGAAAAAAUGUGAACGUCAGGCUGGAAAAAUAUGAAGUUAAUAACAGUUUGUCAAAGGCUAG
rnacentral:lncRNA from 1 species